ensembl:lincRNA
ACCUGGAAGUCAAGAGUGCGAGGUGAGCCCAUACACUCGCUCUUCUUCAUACCUCAGUUCACUGUGGCCAGCAUGGACUAGGACCAAUGAAGGCCCAAGACUCCAAAUACAACCCUCCUGUCCACUGGCACGACAAGAAUUUAGGAUUAGAGGGUGUUCAAGAGAUGGGUCAAAGCUAAUCAAAAAUGACUGCAUGUCCCAUGAACAUUCUUACUGUCCCUUCAAGAAAGCAUCAUCAUGGAAACUUGGUAAACCAUUGGUCAACAGACUACCAGCUGCCCUCAGAGGAGGGGCAGGCAGCCUGAGGAGUUUCAGUACACAUAUCUCAUCAACACUUGCCCCCACCUGCCUUCUGAAGCCAUGCUAGCCAGGGCUUACAGAAACUGCUCAUGUGCAAGACUCCUCCCUAGAGAGCACCACCUCUGCAGCCACUGGACCUGUACAGACUGAGGGAUGACUAGAAGUUCUCAGUUCCAUGAGCUAGGAGUAUGUGUCUGUGUGUGCUCACCCUGUGAGACCGGAGAGCCUUUUACCUUCCCCACUCUGGGUGCAAACUGGGACAGCUCAGGGCGGGCGGUGGCAGCACGGCAGUAUGUAUUUUCCAUCUGACGUGCGGAUGAGAAGGACCUAGUUCUUCUUCCUCAGCGACCACAGGCCCCAGGUUCCCAAGCAGCCUGUGCUCUGGCUCGAUGCCCAGCCAGCUGUGAGCGACACGUUUCUUCUGUUUACCAACUGUUGCUCUCAUGGUAAGGAACUGACCCUGUGACACGCUGAGCUGCCUGGGUGGACACUGUCCCUGAGGAGGUUAUAUUGUCGUGGCUGAGUGGGCACAGAAGUGGGCAGCUUCAGAGAAAUAUGCACAACUUUGCUAGUCCUAUGCUGGGGAAGCCUCAGGCCUGGGGGAUGUCGGUGUGGUGUGGAGUUCUCAGGGGAUGAAGGUCAGGUAAAGUUUGUUUUAUAAGAAAGAAGAAAAGAGAAAUAAGUAGUGAAAAUCACUUCUGUAGAGCUCCAACAUAAAAGCUGUUUUGUUAGCCUGCCCCCCACGCCACCCCCAAAGUGGUUUCUUUCUGUGAUUGUGCUCCUUGGCUGAAGAUUGUUGUUUAUAUAACAGGAUGAAGGACAAAAUUAUAAGCUCCAAACUCCUCCAGAGAAAGGCUGUCCCAAAGCUCAACCCCCAGGAUAAAUGGAGAAUGGAGUGUUUAUUGGCUGAGCACUGAGCUGCAGUGGGAAUGUCAGCAUUCAGAGGAUGGCAGAGAGGAAGGGUGCUGUGCAGUCUCUGCCCGUCAACAGAGUUCAGCAAGGGCAGUUUCUUCUCUGCCCACCCGAGAGAUGGCUCAGCGGUUAAGAGCACAGACUGCUCUUCCAAAGGUCCUGAGUUCAAAUCCCAGCAACCACAUGGUGGCUCACAACCACCCGUAAUGAGAUCUUACGCCCUCUUCUGGUUUGUCUGAAGACAGCUACAGUGUACUUAUGUGUAAUAAUAAACCUUUGGGCCGAAGCAAGAAGGGACUUGAGAGCAAGCGAAGUUGACUGGAGCGAGUGAACUUGACCGGAGCAAGUAGAGAGAGGUCCUAAAAAUUCAAUUCCCAACAACCACAUGAAGGCUCACAACCAUCUGUACAGUUACAGUGUACUCACACAUAUAAAAUAAAUAAAU